CGCGAAGAACCUUACCAAAUCUUGACAUCCUUUGACAACUCUAGAGAUAGAGCUUUCCUCUUCGGAGGACAAAGUGACAGGUGGUGCAUGGUUGUCGUCAGCUCGUGUCGUGAGAUGUUGGGUUAAGUCCCGCAACGAGCGCAACCCUUGAACUUAGUUGCCAUCAUUUAGUUGGGCACUCUAAGUUGACUGCCGGUGACAAACCGGAGGAAGGUGGGGAUGACGUCAAAUCAUCAUGCCCCUUAUGAUUUGGGCUACACACGUGCUACAAUGGACAAUACAAAGGGCAGCGAAACCGCGAGGUCAAGCAAAUCCCAUAAAGUUGUUCUCAGUUCGGAUUGUAGUCUGCAACUCGACUACAUGAAGCUGGAAUCGCUAGUAAUCGUAGAUCAGCAUGCUACGGUGAAUACGUUCCCGGGUCUUGUACACACC
rnacentral:rRNA from 1 species